GACGAACGCUGGCGGCGUGCUUAACACAUGCAAGUCGAGCGGUAAGGCCCUUUCGGGGGUACACGAGCGGCGAACGGGUGAGUAACACGUGGGUGACCUGCCCUCAGCUCUGGGAUAAGCCUGGGAAACCGGGUCUAAUACCGGAUAUGACUCCAUGACGCAUGUUGUGGGGUGGAAAGCCUUGUGCGGCUGAGGAUGGGCCCGCGGCCUAUCAGCUUGUUGGUGGGGUGANGGCCUACCAAGGCGACGACGGGUAGCCGGCCUGAGAGGGCGACCGGCCACACUGGGACUGAGACGCGGCCCAGACUCCUACGGGAGGCAGCAGUGGGGAAUCUUGCGCAAUGGGCGAAAGCCUGACGCAGCGACGCCGCGUGAGGGAUGACGGCCUCGG
rnacentral:rRNA from 1 species